rnacentral:lncRNA from 12 species
GCACUGGAAGAUUGGAAGACCCGUUUUAACUGUUUUCAUGUCUUUGAAACUGAAAUUAAAUGUAUGUCUGUUUUGUUUUCAUAGGUCGUUAUGAAUGCUUGUACAAUACAAGCACAGGACCACAAAUUGUCUGGGACAGAAUUGACUAUAUUAAGCCAUAUCCUAGUAUGCAAGUGCCUAAUAACAAGGCAUACAAAUGUGAAAAUCGGGAGGUGACACUCGACUGCUGUGUACAUUCUGAUUACUCAGUACAGUGGGUGCAGAGCAUAAAAAGCAGCAAAAUUGAUUUACUGACAUGUAGAACAGAACAGUUUAAAAUCACAGCUGAAAGUUCAUGUGCUAAAACUUUCAUAUACACCUGCAAACUGGACAAUGAAGAUCUAAGUGGGUUUUCAUAUAGCUCAAAGUCUGUGGAACUGGUUGUCCACAAACCUAUAGAGCAAUCUCCAGACAGCCGUAAGUUCACAUUCCGUUUUUACCUUAGUGGUCCCUGUUUUCAUUCCUGGUUGCCCCACACAAUGACGACUCUGUACCAACAUGGUAUCAAACUCAAAUAUAUAAAAUAUUAUGUUUUUAAAACCAGUUAAUACUAUUUACAUUAUUUUCUCUCUUUUUUCAUAGCUGUCACAUGCAACAAUGACAUAUAUGGUUUUGGAAAAGUUGGUGACAAGGUUGUAGGAGACUGUGUGAAAGAAAAAGUUGGCUUCAGAGAAGGAGAGUGUCGUUCUGAUGGCUUUUGGGUAACUGUAAAGGACACCUGUGUGCUUCGGAUCAUUGAACAACUGCAACAGGAAUCACAGGUUUGCUUUUCGGUUUUACUGUCUUUCCUGUUGCUUGUAACACAUAAGAUUGCCCAUGCAGCACUGUACUACUUUAGAGAAACACAUACAGCUGUUCAUUUUUGUAGAUGCUUAUAUUGUAUGUUGAGUAGAUCUGUAAGGUGGUAUAGGGAAAGUGUUAAUGACACAAUUAUUGCUCAAUCCAGGAUUUGCUUAUCUUUGUUUAUUUGUUUCAUUUUUAAGGGUUUAGAUGCUGAAACAUUAACAGAUUUUGUGGAUAAAUUGAACAAUGCCACCAUAAACAAUGAAGGUGAGAUAGUUCAAUCUGAAGCUACAGUUUCAGCAAUGGUGGAAAUACUUAACAAUAUUGCAGAUGUCACUCAAACUGUUAUGCUGGAUGAAGUUGUGAUAACGGUAAGUUGAAAUUUAGAUUAGAUUACAUCCACAACUGAUCAUUGUUAGAGUUGAAUUGCCGUUGUAUUAUGUAGACUACACAUUAGUUGACUUGAGUUUUUAAUGGCAGUGUCUAUGAAUCUAUAUGUAUUCUUUUUUUUUUAAUUUCAUCCAGUUGUUCCCCUUUAAGUUGAGAAACUGCAAUAGUUUCAUCUAAAUGUGAUGCCUUUUAACAUCUCCCAUCAUUUAUCUUACAGAAUUUCCUUAGUAUAGUGGAUGUCAUUUCAUCAGAGACAGUGAAACCUGUAUGGGAACAGCUAAAUUCAAAUGGCGAAAGCCAAGGCAACAGCUCUCAACUCCUGAAUGCCAUUGAAAGUGUUAUAAAAGCGACAUCAAACAGCAAUUUCAACAUAACGAGUCCAACCAACUCAUUCCUGUUCAAAAAAGUAACAACAUCUGAAGACUUCAAUGAAGUAUUAAAGCUCAACUCAACAGCUGCAAUAAACAUCCCGGGUAUUGCAUCCAGUCACAAAAACGUUACAAUCACAGCUGUGGCCU